CAGUUUCUUGAAGUCAAUUUUUUCCUGUGUAUCUAUAUCAGUGUCUUUGUCUAUAUCUAGAUAUAGCUAUCCUCUUGGUUCUGUUUCUCUGGAGAAUCCUGACUAAUGCAUAUCCCUACCCUGAGAAUCCCGUAUCACUGAUAGCCUAGAAUUUAUCUUAUGUUUUAUAAUUUUGUAUUCCCCAUAGUACUUAUCACCUUAUAGUUUACAUAUAAUUAACUUACUCAUCGUUAUUGUUUGUUGUCUAUCUCCCUACCCGAGUGUGAGGCACUGAAAGUGGAGUUCCUGGUGUGUUCUUUCCCUGCGAUGUCACGUAAGCCAGGAAAGCCUGCUGGCUCGCAGCAAAUGUUCAAUAAAUAGAAGCAGUGAACACACUUCACAUCACAGCUCCCCAGCUGAUUUGCCCCAUGAUGGAAGCUCUUUCUAAAUCUCCAAUCUACCUCUAGCUUCAAAUUUGUUAUUAUUCACGUUUGAAGAAAUAAAAAAAGAGCCUAUUUUGGACGGACAGAUCUCUCACUGUACCCCAAGUCCCUCAGAGCCGUGUGCUCAGCUUCCUUCUCCCUGAUUAGAUUUCAGUCCCUUGGCUCACCUGCCCUGAGCUCUUCUUUUCCUGUUUGUGUCACAGGUAAGUUCUCCCCAGCUAUUUCUGCCACUCCUGUUGGAUAACUUUGUUAUUCACUUUUACUAACUUUCAAUAAUUAGACAUUUCACAGCUAUUUUCCAGAGGUCAUCUCCGGUCGCCUUUCAGACACUGUCCCUGCACCCACAGGUGAAGUCACUCCCCAGCAGGGAGAUAAGAUCGUGGAACCAAACCUUUAUCUCAGGCUGAAAUGCCCACUCUCCACGCCUGCGCGACCGCCGCCUCUCAACUCGUGGUCCUGACAGCAAACACCCAUCAGAAGUCACGAGAAGGAUGACAGGCGGAGGUUUGGAAAUGGGCGAACCCUAAGGCACAUGAGGGACCUGGCUGCAGGAAGAGAGAAGGAGGACUCUGCAAGUUAUCUCUCUUCUCGAAUUGAAAUUCCUGAGAGCGAGAGUCCAAGGGAACCCAUGUAAGUCCUGUUCUCUACCCUCGCUUAGGAGAGGGAGUGACAUUUGUAAUGAUAGCUCUGCGGGAUAUGUCUAGUAGAUGUAGACCCUGCAUACCUCGGAAAACAACCAAUGUGACAACAGUGCUGGAGAGAACAGAGCCCAAGAGAGAAAGAAAAAUUAUAAUACCAGUUUCCCUGGUAGGUGUCAAGGAUGAAGUUACUCCCCACUUGGCAGAAAUGCAGGUGAAAAGGAAAAGAAUCCUCUGAGGGGAUGAGAGUGGUGUCAACUUAAAAAGCAAAUUUGCCUGUUAUUUUAUCUCAAAAUGAGUUUAUUCCAGAAUAG
rnacentral:lncRNA from 1 species